CGAUUUUUAGAACAGUAGGUUAUUUUAGUCCGAUUUCGUCAAAUGGAGGUUUGGCAUUUGAAUUUUGUUAAAUAGACUAAUUAUAUGAAGAAUAGAGGACCAUUGACCUCCGGCUAAACCUCGCCAGAAAAGAAGAAAAAGAAAGAGUUCACUCAUUUAGAAAACAAUUAGUUUUUAUGCACAAAUCUGUUUAUUGUACGGUAUAAUUUAAAAUAUUUGUUUUUAUUAUCGAUAUCCAGCCCACUGGACUGACAAAUUUGGGAGACCAAUUCUAUCGUCCACAAGGGAGUCUGUUCUGAAAUUGAUAGCACAGGGGUGAGAGUCGAACCCUAGACCAAAGAUUUUAUGAGGCUCAUAAUUGACAAGUCAUUAUACCAGUGCGCCUAUACCAGUGUGCCAACACCUUAGGGAUUGGUGUAGUUUCAAACUUAAUGAAGAGAAUUCAGUCAAUGCAUUUGAAAUCUGAAAUUUUUUCUAAAUAUAAUGUAUGAAAAUUGUUUUUUCAAUGACUAACUUUUACAAUACAUACGACAGCAAAGAGAAAAGUGUGUGGUUUGUUAUGAGAAAUAAUAGUAAAAAAUAAAAUAGGGUAGACAAUAAUAUUAUUUUAAUCUUAUAUUUUAUUAUUUUUUAUUCUCAUGAUUCAAGUUCGAGUGUGUGGAGAUCUUAUAACCAUUGCCAAACAAAAUUCUUUGCUUACUUGGAUAUUUCAGGUACAGUCGUUACGUCCUUCCUCCAAUAACUUUUUCCAUUCUUUAUCAAGACAACAACAAUACCUUAGGGAGCUCAUCUAAAGGUAAAAUUAUAUAUAAAUAAAAUCUUUACUCCAUAAGGAUUUUUUAUGCAAAUAUUAAUAAUAUUGUUUAUAUAUCUGUUUCGAUUAGUGCAAGAAAAAGCAAGGAAGAGAAUCGUAAAGAAGGAUGGCUGAUGCUGUUGUCUCCUUUGUAGUGCAAAGACUUGGUGACCUUCUCAUCGAACAAGUUAUUUUUUUGCAAGGAGUGAGAGAUGAAGUUGAAUGGUUAAAAAACAAAUUGGAGUACAUGUUGUGUUUCUUGAAGGAUGCAGAAGAAAAACAGGAUGGAGAUCAUCGAAUCCAAAAGUGGAUAUCUGACAUCAGAGAUGUUGCUUAUGAUGCUGAGGAUAUUAUUGACAACUUCAUCCUCGAAAUUGAAGAGAAAAGGACUCCAAAGAAGAUGGGGUUAAAAGCUUGGAUUGAGAAGUAUUCAUGCACUUGCAGUAAGCAGUAUAGCCUCGUGAAACAAGCAACUCUUUAUGGCAUAGGAAAGGAAAUCAACUCAUUAAAGACCAGGCUUGAAGAAAUCCAACGCAAUCAAGAAAUUUUAAAAAUGGAAAGUUACUGGUGAUGGCUAGAGAGGAAUUAGCCCGCACAAACGAGAGACUAAUAAGCUACGAAGAGAAAGACCAUAUGAAGACAAUGAGCUUGUUGUACGGCUUCGAAAAAAAGAUGUGACUUAUUGAUGGUCUGAAAAUGUAACGCAGAGCCACAUCGCUGUGUGGUAUCCAUCGUAGGCAUUGGAGCGGCUGGGUAUAAGACGACGAUAGCUCGGAAGCUUUAUAACACUAGUUAUAAACACUAGUAGUCUUGCAACAAUUUCAAUUAUAUGCUUGGAUUUCUGUGUCCAAGAUUACAAAAUCCAAGAUCUUCUUCAAGGACAUAAAUUUUCAAGAAGCACACCCCAAAAGGGAUUUGAGAUUGUUGGAGAAGAUGCAAGAAGAAGAUUAGAUCUAUUUACGUGAUUCUUGAAAGGACCAUCGAUACUGUGGUAGUGUUUGAUGAUGUAUGGGAUGUAGAACUUGGUAAGAACUUGAGGAGAGCCUUACCAGAUAAUAAAAAAUGGAAAUAAGUCCAUUACCACACCCGACAAAAAGUUAUUGCCUGAGCAUUUGAAUGAAGAAAACGUAUUCCAUGAGCUCCCAUUUUUUGUGGGAAGUUGAAAGUUGGGAAUGUUUUUGUAAGAAGUGUUACGCAAAUUUUAAUGAAAGUUUCACAAAAUAGGUCGUAUCUCUCAAGACUUUGAUAUAAUGGCACAAGAAAUGUGUCAGAAAAUGUCAUGGCUUUAACCUUGGGCCCUUAUUGUAAUUGGUGGUGUGUUGUUAGAAAAACAUCCUGAUGAGUGGCCAAGGUUCAACAGCACAUGUGGCGCCAUGUAAGGAGAUAACGUCCAUGUUCACAUAUAUUGGCUUUGAGUUUCCAUGAUUUACCUCAUCCACUUGAAUUCUUGCUUUCCUUUACUUUGGGUCUGUUUCCUGAAACUUUGAAAUUAAUGCAGACAGACGCUAUCAUUUAUGGGUGGCAGAGGGUUUUAUAAAUUAGACGUGAAUCUGAGGAGAUGGCUACAGAAUAUCUGAAAGAGCUAUGUGAUAGAAUUUGCUCGAGUUAACAAAAAAAAUGGAGAGAAUCAUUUCAUGCCAGUUCAUGAUCUUCUCUGAGUUUGCUAUCGAAAAGUCAAAGGAGCUAAUUUCUUCAUUCUAUGAUGGAGCACCUGUUCCCAACAGUCGAAGACUGCCUUUCCAUUGCGGAUUUCAAAGGUUUUGUUUCCUUGGAUCAUUCAAAUUUGCGCUUACGAACUUGUUUCAUCUUUUUGAGUAGAAAAUGAAAUCUUGCCGAAUAGAUCAGUACGGUUUAAUAUGCGAAGUUGAGAUUAUUGAGAGUGUUAACUCGUUGGAAACUUCCAUUUCAAUCCUUCCCAAGGACGAGAGAAGAACAAACUAGGUAAGUAAUAGGGAAAUUGAUUCACUUGAGGUACCCUGGGUUUAGCUUAUAGCAGAUACAUGAUCUCUCACCAUUUCAUAGGUAACUUGCAAGCCCUACAAACCUUGGAACUACAACAAGGGUUCGUCUACUAAUCCAAUUCUAUUAACCUGAUGAGAUAUGCAAAGCAAGCAGCUCAGACCUUAACGUGGAAGCUUUCAAGUGGCCCUUUCUCGAUAGACAAUUUGACAACCUUCGAACUCUCAACUUUGAGUUGUGGUUGAGGACCAGAUGGAAUUUUGAUCCCAUGGAUUUGAUCAAUCUUCGAGAGCUGCAGUAAUAUUGUGGGAGCAGACACAAAUUCACACUAGACUCCAUUGGUAGAUUAAGAUUCCUGCAAUCCUUAGAUUUGCGUGUUUAUGAUAAAGGAUCCCCUGGUUUCCUCCUCCACUGGCACCCAACUUUCUUCUCAUUGUAAACACCUCCUCCAACUGAUGUUGUGGAACACGAGACCACACUAUAAGCUACCGACAGAUUUACACGAAUUCCUACCGAAUCUCAAGUUCCUCCAUUUAGCGGCAUUUGCAUUGAUGACAGAAGAUCCUAUGCCAAUAUUGGAGAAGCUUCC
rnacentral:lncRNA from 1 species